rnacentral:lncRNA from 1 species
GGGCGCUGAGUGUUUACCUGGACCUGCAGUUCACGCCCUCGCGCACCGGGGCCAACGUCCCCGGCCGGAGCCGCCGCCUGCGGUCCGCCAUGGUGGCCCUAGCUUCGCGGCCACCGUCCGGGCUUGGGCGGUGUGUGUGCCCUGCUGCCGCCCCGUUGCUAGGACACCGCACAACCACCGCUGCCGGUAUUUGCCCCGGGCGCCUGGCAACUCUGACGCCCCGCUGCGCGGUCCAACCCCUUCUCCGACGCCUGGGGACGUGGACCUGGCCGAGGGAAGGGAGAGGGUACCGGUCCUUGGUGUAAUCACGUUUUACUCUGCUGGGAAGGCGUGUUCAUCUUCCCACCGAAACGCGCCAUAGACUGGAUCAGGCGUUUUUUGCUCAUCAUCGUUUCAAAAAACGUUUACUGAAGGAAAGAAAGGAAGAAGGCAGGAGGAGCGAUAAAGAGAUAGCAAGAGAAAGAGGAUGGAAAGUGGGGAAAAUGAAUAGAUUUCUAAAGGUUGGGAAAGCCUUUUAGCAGGGAGAUGUUUUCCUGGAGGUCUUGGAACUCUCUUGGUCUCACAGCCUCUGUAAACCGAGGGCUGCACACCUGUCUCUAGUCCCCAGCUGAUUUCCAGAGGCCCUUCCAGCUCCUGUGUUGAUUCUUCUGCCUCGACUCACUUCUAGCAGACAAGUACCAUCCAGCUGACCCUGCUAUUCUUGUCCUUUUUUCUCCAGGAAAUAAGAUGUUCCCCCUUUCUCCUUCUGAUAUGAGAAGAUACUUGUUAGCCCUCAAGCUGCUCAGAUGAGGGACUUUCCUGCCGAGAACCAACGUGAAGAGUGCAGCUUCUAUAAAGGAUUUCACUGGAUUUUUGUACUAAUGAACAAAUUUUAUUUGGAUGAGUAGAUAUUUAAUGUGCUGUUAUUACCACUGGAGUUAAAAGUAUAUUAUAAAUUCUUAUGUCUUUAAAACUAGAGAGAGGAUUCUGGGAAGAUGGCAGAGUAGAAAGCACCAGGAAUCCGACUUCCCACCUAAACAACUGUUCUAGCAGCAUCUGUCUGACACAACUAUUUUAAAACUUUGGGGUCUAUUGAAAGCUAGCAACUUCUAGGGGAAAAGUUGUACAGUAAGCUGCAGUUAAUUUCAGUGAAUUUCAGCACAGUAAUAGCCAAUAGUAGCCAAACCCUACUCCUCAGCCCUGUGUCAGGCAGCUGUGUAUGUGUUCCUGGACCAGUUUGCACACAACUUGCUGGAAUCAAGGUUGAAAAAAAAAAACUGUCCUCCAAAUAUUAGGGCUCUGAUUGCUGAUUGUUGCUUUACAAAGGUGCAGAAGAAGAAAUGACAGCCAUUGUUUUGUUGUUGCACCUUCCCCCCCAUUGUGGCAAACUCCACCUCCUCUGGCUGAAGCACCUUCCAGGGGAUUUAAACGAUGAGCCUUUUUCUGCCCUUCAUUUUUCUCUUUUUCUCCAUUUUUGGAAGCCAGACAUUGAAGGCUAUGACAUUCAAAACAACUGUAUAUACACUUGUUACAGAAGAUAUUAGAAAGUCACUGUGCGUGCCCAGGGACAGGCUUAGAAAAGACCCAAGAAGACUGUAAGCUUAUAUUUCAGGCUAAUCCUCAGCACAGAGACAGCCUAUAACAAUAAAAAACAAAAAGCUAGUAAACCCUGGGGAAGGAAAAUAAUCUGAUUUUCAGAAUUACCAGAUUAUUAGAUUCAAAAGUCUAGUUUUCAACAACAACAACAACAAAAACAAAAACACAAGAGAUACAAAGAAACAAGCAAAUAUGGCCCAUUCAAAGGAAAAAAUAAACCAACAGAAACUGUCCUUGAAAAGGAUCUGAUGGAGGAUCUAUUAGACAAAGACUUUAAAACAACUGUCUUAAAGUUACCCAAAGAACUAAAGGAAGAUGUGGAAAAUGUCAAGAAAAUGAUGUAUGAACAUAAUGGAAAUAUCAAUAAAGAGAGAGAAAACCUAAAAAGAAACCAAAAAGAAAUUGGUUUCCAGAAAUUUUCUGGAACUAAAAAGUACAAUAGCUGAAAGUUAAAAAAACUUGCUAGAGAGAUUCAAUGGCAGAUUUGAGCAAGCACAAGAAUCAACAAACUUGAAGAAAGGACAAGGAAAAUUAUUGAAUCUGAGGAAUAUAAAGAAAAAAAUUGAAGAAAACAGAGCCUAAAGGACCUGUAGGACAUCGUCAAACAGCCCCACACAGGCUUUAUGGGGAGUCCUUGAGGACAAGUAAGAGAAAGGGGCAAAGAGAUUAUUCAAAGAAAUUAUGACCAAAAACUUGCCAAAUUUAAUGAAAGACAUGAAUAUAAAUAUCCAAAAAGCUCAAUGAACUCCAAGUAGGAUAAAUUCAAAGACACACCAAAAGUAUUACCAUCAAACUAUUAAAAGCUGGAGACAGAAAAUUUUGAAAGCCGCAAGAGAGAAGUGAUCAUCACAUAUAAGGAAUCCUCAAUAAGAUUAUCUGCAGAUUUCUCAUCAGAAACUUCAGAGGCCAGAAAGCAGUAGGCUGAUAUAAAGUGCUAAAAGAAAGAAACUAUCAACUAAGAAUCCUAUAUCCAGCAAAUCUUCACUUCAAAAGCUGGAGGAUUCACACUUCUUUGUUUCAAAACUUACCACAAAGUUACAGCGAUCAAAACAGUGUGGUACUGGCACAAAGACAGACAUAUAGACCAAUGGAAUAGAACACAGUCCAGAAAAAAACCCUCUUAGCACAAGGGUGCUAAGAUUAUCCAAUGGGGAAAAGAUGAUCUUUUUGACAAAUGGUGCUGGGAAAAUUGCCACAUACAAAAGAAUACAGUUGGACCCUUACCUGAUACCAUUUACAUUAAAUUAAUGCAGACUAGAUCCAUAACCUAAUGUAAGAACUAAAACUAUAAAACUCAUAGGAGAAAGCAUAGGGCAAAAGUUCACAACAUUAGAAUGGGCAAUAAUUUCUUGGAUAUAACAUCACAAGUACAGGCAACAACAACAACAAAAGAACACAAAUUGGAUUGUAUUACAAUUUUAAAAUUUUGUGCAUCAAAAGUACUAUUAACAGAGUAAAAAAGGCAACCCACAGAAUGGGAGAAAAUAUUUGAAAAUCAUCUCUAAUAA